AGAGUAACUGCUCGUACCUUGACGGUACCUUAUUAGAAAGCCACGGCUAACUACGUGCCAGCAGCCGCGGUAAUACGUAGGUGGCAAGCGUUGUCCGGAAUUAUUGGGCGUAAAGCGCGCGCAGGCGGUUCUUUAAGUCUGAUGUGAAAGCCCACAGCUCAACCGUGGAGGGUCAUUGGAAACUGGAGAACUUGAGUACAGAAGAGGAAAGCGGAAUUCCACGUGUAGCGGUGAAAUGCGUAGAGAUGUGCAGGAACACCAGUGGCGAAGGCGGCUUUCUGGUCUGUAACUGACG
rnacentral:rRNA from 1 species